AGUGUACCAUUUUCUAUACCAAUGUACCGACGAACAUAAAUUGUACCAGUUUUGGUACAUCUGUAUCCGCGAUAAGAUAUCAAUAAAUGUACAUUUUAUACCCAUAGUCAUUUUCAUUCAUUCAUUGCAUUACUUAACAAAUUGGCAACGGUAAUACACUCAGUACAUACACACAGAUCACGCGCACACCACCAAAAAAAAAAAGAGUAAAAUUGAAUGUCAAAAGCUCAAAAAUGUUUAGCGGUUCUUGUUGUUCUUUUUAGCUUGGGCUAUGAUCGUGACGUAGCCAAUAAUCUUGUAUAGCAACAGCAACAAAACAUAUCACGCUGUGGCGUCACGGAAAGCUUUGAAGAGUAAUGAAAGCCAAUAAAGACGCGGUCAAAACGUGUGCACACUCUUACGUAUCUUGGGUUUAUUUAUAAAUACAUAUACAUACAUAUGAAGAUACAAGUGUAUCUGUGAAAUUCAAGUUGAACGUUGCAACUUGCAAGUUUAGCGGUCAUCAACGCUAGUUGGCGGCCAAAUGCACUGUAUACAUGUACAAUAAAAGUAGAUAAUUUUUUAAAGUUCUACUUUGAGCCACAUGCACUGUAAUAAAAUUAAAUAUUUAAAUUUGUUUCUAUGUCAAAACAAUUGUUUGACUUACUGUAAAUACAUUUAUAUAUGAAAAAUGAUUAUAAUAUGAAUUAAAAAGAUUGUUCUUGAAUAGUUUUCUUGAGCAUUAUUUUAUUUGCAGCUCAUUUUUCGUUUACUUUUCGAGUAUACAAACUAUAUUUGAAUUAUGAAUAAAUAACAUUGCUACUCCUGCUUCUGCCGAUGUUGUUAAUAUUUCCUUGCCGCCUUAUCGGAUUUUUUACGUUGGAUUCUGACCCUAUCUGAAGCACACGUCAAUUGGCAACACAGCCAAACUGAUAAUCAUGGGAGUUUUUUUUGUUCCUUUUUUGUGUUGUGUUGAAAUUGAUUUACAAAAUAUAUAAAUAUAUAUAUAUCUCAAAGCA